UAAAAACAAAAUAUAAAAUUGUGAUUAAAAUAAAUAGAAAUGUCAUAACCAGGUGCCGAGAAUUGAUGAGAACAUGGGUGUUCAGUAGGGGAGAACUAAAUACAUUUAAUUGGGAUCUCAUUCAACCACCCAACGAGAGCAUCAGAACGACUGAGGGCAUAAAGUAGAAGGGAACUAAGAAGAGCAGCGUUCUCAAAGCCGGAACGACGCCAAAGCCCAACGAACGACGUGCGUGCUCCGAUGUGCACGCAGUGGUGGGGGCAAAUCGUUCCAGCAUCGAGACGCUGCAAAUCUAAACGAUCCUCGAAAUGCUGCUGUACGAUGUCUCGGAGUGAGGAAGACGUGAGUAAUCACCCUUCUCUUAUGCUCACUGCGACAAGGUGCACGGACUAGCUUGUCUAAGAGAUAUUGCGGCCGUCCUGUAUUAAUGACGCCGAACAACAUUGUCGCCAAGUGCAACUUUCUACGGGCCUCCAUCUUCAUCUGAUUGGCUGCAUUGAGGAAUGGCGUAACAUGAGACCGUGGCGGGAUAUGGAAGCAGAAGCGAGCACAUGCAUUUUGUACCCUCUGCAACAACUUCGCUGAACUUGCUAACAGACAGGGCCCAUAAACUGUGUCACAAUAGUUUAGCUUAGACAAUACAAGAGCCUCACAAAGAGUUAUCCUAAGCUUUUCACUCAAAUAAGGUCUUAUUCUGUACAGGAGCUUCAACCUAUAAAAACAAUUUCUUGCACAUUCAGUCACAUGUUUUUCAAACCUGAGAUGGCUGUCAAACACCAGUCCCAAGUUCCU